rnacentral:rRNA from 1 species
GACGAACGCUGGCGGCGUGCUUAACACAUGCCAGUCGAACGGAAAGGCCCUGCUUUUGUGGGGUGCUCGAGUGGCGAACGGGUGAGUAACACGUGAGUAACCUGCCCUUGACUUUGGGAUAACUUCAGGAAACUGGGGCUAAUACCGGAUAGGAGCUCCUGCUGCAUGGUGGGGGUUGGAAAGUUUCGGCGGUUGGGGAUGGACUCGCGGCUUAUCAGCUUGUUGGUGGGGUAGUGGCUUACCAAGGCUUUGACGGGUAGCCGGCCUGGGAGGGGGACCGGCCACAUUGGGACUGAGAUACGGCCCAGCCUCCUACGGGAGGCAGCAGUGGGGAAUAUUGCACAAUGGGCGGAAGCCUGAUGCAGCAACGCCGCGUGCGGGAUGACGGCCUUCGGGUUGUAAACCGCUUUCGCCUGUGACGAAGCGUGAGUGACGGUAAUGGGUAAAGAAGCACCGGCUAACUACGUG